GAAAGAUCUCCCAUGCUCAUGGAUUGGCAGGAUUAAUUUAGUAAAAAUGGCCAUUUUACCAAAAGCAAUCUACAGAUUCAAUGCAAUCCCCAUCAAAAUACCAAUCCAAUUCUUCAAAGAGUUAGACAGAACAAUUUGCAAAUUCAUCUGGAAUAACAAAAAACCCAGGAUAGCUAAAGCUAUCCUCAACAAUAAAAGGACUUCAGGGGGAAUCACUAUCCCUGAACUCAAGCAGUAUUACAGAGCAAUAGUGAUAAAAACUGCAUGUUAUUGGUACAGAGACAGACAGAUAGACCAAUGGAAUAGAAUUGAAGACCCAGAAAUG
rnacentral:lncRNA from 1 species